UCAAAGUUUCCUAAGAGCCUCAAUGGGAGUCCAACCAAUGCACCCAAAUGUAUUAUCAGAUUAGGACAAGUGCAGUACGGAAGGGCCAACCCUCAAGUGUCCAGGUUCAGAGGGAAAUCAAAGGGUCCCAAGGCAAGGCUUACAAGAAGGGGGCGGAACUUAAUGACUAAGAAGGCGUGCAAGUACAUAAUAGGAUGCUAAAGGGGAAAAUUAGA
rnacentral:lncRNA from 1 species